rnacentral:tRNA from 1 species
GUAGACGUUAGCUCAGUGGUUAGAGCACGCAGGCCUCUGGCUCUCGGGUCCGCGAGUUCGAGUCCCGUCGUCUACU